CCUACGGGCGGCAGCAGUGGGGAAUAUUGGACAAUGGGGGGAACCCUGAUCCAGCCAUGCCGCGUGUGUGAAGAAGGCCCUCGGGUUGUAAAGCACUUUCAGUGAGGAAGAACGCCUGGUGGUUAAUACCCAUCAGGAAAGACAUCACUCACAGAAGAAGCACCGGCUAACUCCGUGCCAGCAGCCGCGGUAAUACGGAGGGUGCGAGCGUUAAUCGGAAUUACUGGGCGUAAAGCGCGCGUAGGUGGCUUGAUAAGCCGGUUGUGAAAGCCCCGGGCUCAACCUGGGAACGGCAUCCGGAACUGUCAAGCUAGAGUGCAGGAGAGGAAGGUAGAAUUCCCGGUGUAGCGGUGAAAUGCGUAGAGAUCGGGAGGAAUACCAGUGGCGAAGGCGGCCUUCUGGUCUGACACUGACACUGAGGUGCGAAAGCGUGGGUAGCAAACAGGAUUAGAUACCCCGGUAGUC
rnacentral:rRNA from 1 species